AUAAAUUAAAAUUACAGGAUUUUGCUAUAUGGCCAGCCUUACAUAGACAUCAAAUAACGGAUUCUGAGAAAGAAGCCUUACUGCUUAGCAGUUGUAGCAUAGUAUAUAAUUAUGUGGAAAAAAAUCGAGAACUUUAUAUAAACAUAUUAAAGGGUUUCGAAAAAGUUUUAAAGAAUAACCCUCUUCUGUUAGACAACAUUCUUAGUUUAUUUCCUAUACUUCCAGUCAACACAACUGAUGAGGGCAUAACCAACGUCUCGCUAGAUUUGCUCACGUUUAUUAUAAAUACUCCAUUCAGUGAAACUGAUGAUAAAU